GCCUGGCACAGUGACGCAUGCCUGUAAUCCCAGCUGCUUGGGAGGUGGAGGCAGGAGGAUCACGAGUUCAAAGCCAGCCUCAGCAGUUUAGCUAGGUCCUAAGCAACUCAGUGAGACUCUGUCUCUA
rnacentral:sRNA from 1 species